CAUGUUGAAAAAUUCUCUGAUGAGCUGAGGGUAGGAGUGAAAGGCUAAUCAAACCCCGUGAUAGCUGGUUCUCCUCGAAAUGCAUUGAGGUGCAGCGUCGCGUGUUUAUGAAUGGGGGUAGAGCACUGAAAGGGCUAGGGGGCAUACCCGUCUACCAACCCCUAUCAAACUCCGAAUACCAUUCAACAGAGCGCGGCAGUGAGACGGUGGGGGAUAAGCUUCAUCGUCAAAAGGGAAACAACCCUGAUCAGCAGCUAAGGUGCCUAAAUCAUGCUAAGUGGAAAGGAUGUGGAAUUUCACAGACAGUGAGGAUGUUGGCUUAGAAGCAGCCACCAUUUAAAAAGUGCGUAAUAGCUUACUCAUCGAGAGAUUCUGCGCCGAAAAUGAUUGGCGAUAAGCAUGAUACCGAAGCUCUGGGCUUCAACCCCUGGGGGUUGGAGCGGUAGAGGAGCAUUCUUGACAGCGUCGAAGCGCGAUGGCGACUGACCGUGGAGCGUCAAGAAGAGAGGAUGCAGACAUGAGUAACGAUAAGACGGGUGAAAUCCCCGUCCGCCGUAAACCCAAGGUUUCCCGGGCUACGAUUUUCGUCCCGGGGUUAGUCAGGACCUAAGGCGAGGCCGAUAGGCGUAGCCGAUGGACAGCAGGUUAAUAUUCCUGCACUUCCGACCCUUAACCCGGAUUGACGCAUGACUGGAGGUAACUAGGUGAUUGAAUUCCGAGGUGCGGCUACGGCCAAUCCGUAUUACCAAAGGUGGUGCCGAGAAAAGAUCCGGUGUAUGCUAAGGAACCUGUACCGCAAACCGACACAGGUGGGUGGGUAGAAUAUACCAAGGCGUAAGAGUGAACCCUGGUUAAGGAACUCGGCAAAUUGGCCCCGUAACUUCGGGAGAAGGGGUGCCUGGAUUUAUCCAGGCCGCAGUGAAAUGGCCCAACCGACUGUUUAGCAAAAACACAGCAUUCUGCCAAGCCGCAAGGCCAAGUAUAGGAUGUGACACGUGACCAAUGCGGAAAGAUUAAGGUAAGAUGUUAGCCGCAAGGCGAAGCUUUGAGCCCAAGUCCCCGUGAAUGUCGGCCGUAACAAUAACGGUCCUAAGGUAGCGAAAUUCCUUGUCGGGUAAGUUCCGACCUGCACGAAUCGUGAAACGAGUUGGGCGCUGUCUCAACCAGGUGCUCAGUGAAAUUGUAAUGGCGGUGUAGAUGCCGCCUACCCGCAGAAGGACGGAAAGACCCUAUAGACCUUAACUGUAAGCUGUCAUUGGUUUUUCGAUUUUCAUGCUCAGCAUAAGUGGGAGACUUUGAUGUGGUCCUUUAGGGGGCCGCGGAGUCGCCAGUGAGAUACCACCCUUGGGUGUUGGAAGAUCUAACCUCGACCCG
rnacentral:rRNA from 1 species